GAAUUCGUUCCCGGGCCUUGUACACACCGCCCGUCACACUAUGGGAGCUGGCCAUGCCGAAGUCGUUACCUUAACCGCAAGAGGGGGAUGCCGAAGGCAGGGCUAGUGACUGGAGUGAAGUCGUAACAAGGUAGCCGUACUGGAAGGUGCGGCUGGAUCACCUCCU
rnacentral:rRNA from 1 species